GGUUCAAGUGAUUCUCCUGCCUUCGCCUCCCGAGUAGCUGGGAUUACAGGCGUGGGCCACCACGCCCGGGCCCCUGGAGAGGUUUUAAAGCUGGUGGCUUCUGGAUGGUGACUGGGGCCAUAAUGGGAGGGCAUGGCAUUAUCAGGGAACACCUUAGAGUGAGAAAGAAGAUGACCGAAAAUAGAGACGUAGGAAGGCUGAAGAUCUAAGACCUGAAGGAAGAGCCAGAAAGGAGGCCAGAAGACACCCUGGAGCCUGUGAAAACCUGGAGGCUGCCCACUGGAUAGCAUGAUGAUCAAGACUACAGGUUCUGGUGUCCAACCCACCUGGCUUUGAAUCCUGAUUUCCCCACUAAAACUGACAUGACUUUCGGUACUAAGCCUUGCAGGGUGAUUGGGAGGGAUUACAUGUACCACGUUUAAAAUCUUUAGCACUUUGUCUGGCUUGUAGUAGGUGCUCAGUAAAGUGGUACGUGUGGAAAGGGAUAUGGAGAGGCGCAUGGAUGGAAAUGGAGAUGGAGACAGAGACGGAGGUAUUCUCUAAAAAUGUUCAACUCGAAGUCCUUGGCAGCAUUAACAGAAGGAGUGGCAGCAUCUCAGCUAGCAUGCCAGACUAGGAUCUGCUGUAACUCUACACAGCCCAGAGCCUGUCAUGCCCUCGGGUAAUGUAAUGAAAGGUGUUUUCCUCUCUUCAGAACAGGUGCUCAACUGAUACAAUUUAGAGUCUCAAAUUCCAGAGCUUAAUUGUUUGUUCUACAUACGAGUUAGCCACGCUCAGAACACCUGUGGACUAAGUUCUUUUGAUGCACCAAAGCCUGUCUUUUAUUAAGCCCUUUGCGGGCAGUCAAAAUAAGACCAAAUGUCCAUGUGUCGCUGCAUAACCAUGUGGACAUGAAACAAGCCAGCCAGCGUGAGGACUGCACACCCACAGGAGGUAGUGUGAAAAGUGAGUUUUUGGGAAGAAAAACCACUUUCUGCUUGGAGAAGAGAUGAAAAUGGAUUUUUCAUUUAUGGAGCUCAGGCUCUUGCUAUACAGCCCAUGAAACCUCCUCUAAACAGGACUGGCUUGGACAUUAACCUUUAACUACUCUAGAUCUGAGACAGCCACGGGGCUAAGCAGCCUAAGAUACCUCUUGAACUCAGGACUGCUUGUGGAAAUAGAAAAGACUAUGAUGAUGGGAACUGGAGUUUCUGCAAAUCACAGAUGAGUGUAAGGCCAUUUACUGGACUUUUUUCCCAGGUUCAGGAUCCAGUCACCGAUCUAAAAUCGCUGGUAGUCUUUAAGUUUUAAAAUCCUCCUUAGUCAUUUAAAAACGUGGUAGUACAGAACGUCACUCUAGUCCAUCUGAAGCAAAGAAGACCGGAAAGGGAACUAUGAAGUGCCUGUUCAAGACCAGGAUUGGUUAUUAAUAAAACCCUAGACCUAUCAAGUGGAUGGUUGUGGGAAUCAAACAUGAAAGCACUCUGAAAAUUAUCAAGUACUGCACUCUACUGGCUGGAAUGAUGGUGCCUGUUUCUAGGUGUGGUAAGCACGAUAUAAAAUCACAAAAUGGUACUAGCAGAGACCUGUGGGAUUAUUU